CUCAAGAUGGAAGUAAAAUGGAUGCCUCUUCUGUACUUUUUACGAGUGUAAAAUCAGCCUGUGCAUGCGUUGCACCAAAAGGAGAUACACGGGCAAUCUAUUUGGGCACGCCAACUUGGUGGAGAGGUGAAGCACCAUGCUAGUGUGGAAGCCAUUAUGUCAAAAGAUGCAAUCUUGAUUAUAUACCGAUAUAUUAGCACGGUGCUUUCUGGUCUGUAAGUUGUACAGGUUCUAAAACUCAGAAGUGGAAACUCAUAGUGAGGAAUCUCCCAUUCAAGGCUGAAGCUGCUGAGAUAAAAGAUAUGUUUGCUUCUGUAGGAUGUGUGUGGGAAGUUUUUAUUCCUCAAAAUUCUGAGACUGGGUAGAUAUAUAAUGACAUGCAAUUAUUUGUAAUUCACUCCCAAUUUACUUAUGGUUUCAGUUUCAAGUUUGCACUCUUGAUUUAACUCUUGCAGGUUAAUUAAAGGAUUUGCAUUUGUUAAAUUCAUGUCGAAGGGGGAAGCUGUAUCUGUUCUUAAAUGCCGAAGCUAACCUUAUCCUUCUGGUGAUGCAAGCCCCCAGCCUUGAUUAGUAGCCUGACUGCUGCUUAACUAAGAAAUUUCAAGAGAUCAAAAAUGGAGAAAAAGACUAAAAUAGAUCAAUAUUCAGGAGAAUAUGGGUUGGAGAGAUCAUAAUUUAAGAGUAUCUUUGGGCAUGCUUCUUCUAGUCAGUCUGGGGCAUACUUAUUCUGAGAUUGAGAUCUCUUUUAUUAGAUCUAAUUUGGACUUUCUUGGGAUAUAUUAGUACGAGGAAAGAUGUUAUCAAUGUUAUUUGGCAAUGGAAGGAAUUUGAAAAUAUAAGAUUCUACAACCCACUUCCUGGGGUAUACUUUUUGUUUCUUAAAGCUCUGAAGAUAUGCAUUUUUAUAGCUUUAGGAACACCUUUGUAACACAUGUUGACAUCUAAGGUAAGAGCAUCUAUAUGACUCCUGGCCUUAGCUUGGCUGACCUUUAAAGAGCCUUCAAUACAUUUAAUUAGCCUUCAUUUCUAGAAUCAGCUUCCACUGGCGGAUGGUGAUUAUUACUCUGACACACUCAUUUACUCCAUAUACAGGCUAUCAAGAAAUUUAAUAGGAAACAAUUUGUUUAAAGACCCAUUGCUGUUGAUUGGGCUGUUCCAAAAUAGGUUUGUACAUCUGGCAGUAAUUCUGUUGCCGCCUUAGAGGACGGACAGCACGACACUGAUGGAGAAGAUGGCAGUAGUAGUGAUUCGGAGGAUGCUGAUUUGGAAGUCACAAAAAAAUCACAAUCUCAUAGUGUUGAUAAUGCAGCUGACGAGUUGGAUUCAGUUGAAGUAGAUGAUAGUACUUAUGAAGUUGAUUUUGACGUGGAAGCAGAAGUUGCAAGAAACGUACUCAAGAGGUUCAUUUCAUCAUCUUCUAGAAAUGCAGCCACUUCUGGUAAUGAUGACCCAGAGUCAUCUGAGGGGAAAAAGGGCAAUGAAAUUGUUCAAUUACAAGAUUAAUCAGUUAUGCAUCCAGUUCCCAUGGAGUAGAACAAGUGAAUGCUUUGGGAAGUGAACAAAUUUGUCCGACUGAAGCAGAGGACGACUUGCUCAGCACUGUUUUCAUAACCAAUCUUCCUUAUGACAUUGACAAUGAAGAAGUGAAACAAUGUUUCUCUGCAUUUGUUGAAGUGCAGUCUUUUUUUCCCGUUCUUCAUCAAGUGACCAAGUGACCCAGGGGGACUGGAUUUCUUAAGUUUAAAACAACAGAUGCUGCUAAUGCUGCAUUUUCAGUAGCCAAUGCUGUAUCUGGUUUAGGUAUCUUUCCUAAAAGGAAGACAGCUGAAAGUUCUUAGGACUUUGGACAAGAAAACAGCUCAGGAUAAGGCACUAGAGAAGGCCCAAAAAGAGGAUUGUGACCAACUUCUUUACCUGGCAAAGGAGGGUCUUAUCAUGGAAGGGACAACUGCUGCCGAAGGAGUUUCAGCAAGUGACAUGUCAAAGUGCAACAAGUAAAUGAGAUUCUUUCUAUUAGUAGCAGCAUAAUUGAAUGACAAAGCUUGCCUUUGCCAGUCGUAAGAGGCCCAUCUUGGUGGCCUGAAAUUCUUAUUUUAGUAGAAAGGUUCUGGGUUGGCUACUUCAUCCUGGGGUUUUUAGGGAACGUAAUGAAUUUGGCCAUCUCAUCUAUCCCUAUGAACAAAAUAUAAUCUUACAGAAUUCUAGGUUUUGUUUUGUUUUUUUCCUAAAAAAGUCUUAACAGUAUUUAGGCAGACUUGAACUUCAAAUCAACAGUUGUGUUCCUUGAGACCUUGACUAGUCAUUUGUGGGAUUCAAGGGCAGAGCUAUGACAGGCCCAGUGGGGGCACCUGCCCCACUGGGUAUUUUGGUUUUCUUAGAAAAUUGAAAUUCAGCCCUCUAUCUCCUAAGUUCCUAAUUUUUGAACUUGUCUUUGAAAACCCAGCCCAAGCAACGCUUAAGCCUAAAUUCCUAAUGGAUCCCAAAUUCCCAAUUAUCCAAUCCUAGUUUCUAAUCGGUAUUCUGGCUACGUUCCAGUAGAAGCCGCACUCAACAGUCCACACUCUUACAUUAUGGAGUUAAUUGUUCCAAUGGUUAUUGAACUUAGGUCCAUGUCUUUGAUUGGCCCCUGAACUUUAAAAUGUC